rnacentral:rRNA from 1 species
UACAGAGGUCUCAAGCGUUUGUUCGGAUUCAUUGGGCGUAAAGGGUGCGUAGGUGGCGCUGUAAGUCAGGUGUGAAAUUUCGGAGCUUAACUCCGAAACUGCACUUGAUACUGCGGUGCUUGAGGACUGGAGAGGAGACUGGAAUUUACGGUGUAGCAGUGAAAUGCGUAGAUAUCGUAAGGAAGACCAGUGGCGAAGGCGGGUCUCUGGACAGUUCCUGACACUGAGGCACGAAGGCCAGGGGAGCAAACGGG